GGGGAUUUAGCUCAGUGGUAGAGCGCUUGCCUAGCAAGCACAAGGCCCUGGGUUCGGUCCCCAGCUCCCA
rfam:Rattus norvegicus chromosome 10, whole genome shotgun sequence.